rnacentral:rRNA from 1 species
CCUACGGGAGGCAGCAGUGAGGAAUAUUGGUCAAUGGCCGAGAGGCUGAACCAGCCAAGUCGCGUGAGGGAUGACGGCCCUACGGGUUGUAAACCUCUUUUGUCGGGGAGCAAAGAGAGUCACUUGUGGCUCAUUGAGAGUACCCGAAGAAAAAGCAUCGGCUAACUCCGUGCCAGCAGCCGCGGUAAUACGGGGGAGGCGAGCGUUAUCCGGAUUUAUUGGGUUUAAAGGGGGCGCAGGCGGAGGUGCAAGUCAGUGGUCAAAUUGCGGGGCUCAACCCCGGACUGCCGUUGAAACUGCAUGCCUUGAGUGCGCGAGAGGUAUGCGGAAUGCGUGGUGUAGCGGUGAAAUGCAUAGAGAUCACGCAGAACUCCGAUUGCGAAGGCAGCAUACCGGCGCGCAACUGACGCUCAUGCACGAAAGCGUGGGUAUCGAACAGGAUUAGAUACCCCUGUAGUC